UCCCAACGUCUUAUGUCAAGGCCAAAAACGUUCAGGCAAGCAGCAAGCUUUCAUGGGUUUUGACAAUAUUUUUCUCCCAUGAUCCCCAAAAUCAGUUCAAAAUUGUAAUUCUUCUACAUUUCUUUCUGUUUUAGUUGAUGGACACCCAAAUCUUUCUAUUUUGUUUGGAUCAGCUGGUGGACAAGGACCUGGAGAGGGCGAUUCCUCUGUUUUGGGCUGCAAUUAAUGCUGGAGAUAAGAGUUGACAGUGCUCUGAAAGACAUGGCGAUUGUGAUGAAACAGCAAAAUAGGGCCGAAGAAGCCAUUGAAGCUAUUAAGUCACUUAGGAGUCGAUGUUCAGAGCAAGCCCAAGAGUCUCUGGAUAAUAUUCUCCUGGAUCUUUACAAGAGAUGUGGAAGAUUAGACGAUCAAUCGCACUCUUGAAGCACAAGUUGUUUUUGAUUCUACAAGGGAUGGCGUUAAUGGAAAGCGUACCAAAACUGCUCGAUCACAAGGAAAGAAGUUUCAAGUUUCUAUGGAGCAGGAAGCGACUCGCUUGCUAGGGAACUUAGGAUGGGCGCUUAUGCAGAGAAGAAGGAGAAGAAGAAGAGGCGAGUUCUGGGCAAAUGGAAAGGAAGAGAGAGAGAGAGAGAGAGGGGUUUAGCCGUUUAGGGCAAAUAGAGGAGAGAGGAAGAAAAGGGGUAAAAUCAUCUUUUCAAUUUCAAAACCUAAUAAUCCUCACACCGUGAGAGGGGAGGUGGAUGUAAAUUAUUAUUAUUAUUGAUCCAUCAAGCCUUGAACCUCCGACCUUUAGACUGUAUAUACAGUGAACAA